rnacentral:rRNA from 1 species
CCGGAAGAUCUAGUGGCGAACGGGUGCGUAACACGUGAGAAACCUGUCCUGGACUUUGGGAUAACAGUUGGAAACGACUGCUAAUACCGAAUGACGUCGGAGAACCGCAUGGUUCACUGACGAAAGGAAAUCCGGUUUGGAAGGGUUUCGCGGCCUAUCAGCUUGUUGGUGGGGUAAUGGCCUACCAAGGCAACGACGGGUAGCUGGUCUGAGAGGAUGAUCAGCCACACUGGGACUGAGACACGGCCCAGACUCC